ACUAUGAAGGAAUUUUUAUCGAUGGUUCGAGAGUGUGGAGUCAGUGAAGGCAUUGAUCUCAUGUUUACAGCGGCCAAGUUUGCCGUGAAAAGGGAGCAUAGGGAGUUGUUGGCAGCCUUUGAAACACUUGGAGGACGGUUUGAUUAUCUCGAG